UUAAUAAAGUGCAUCUGCUAUUCUCUUCAUUUAUGCUGUUCACAUGCAUCAGAGGAAUUGCCUGGAAAUAUAGAUUAUUUGCUCAGAGAAACAUAUAACUGGUUUCACAGAUCUGCUUUGCGCAGUGAUUCCUAUAUGGAGGUAUACAAUUUGAUAAACGAUGGCGAGGAACCCUUAAAAAUUCUUCCUCUUUCUCCUACACGGUGGCUAGCAAGAAGCAACUGUGUAAAAAGAAUCCUACAUCAAUGGGAUGCUUUACAAUUGCAUUUUAAAACGGUUUCUUCCAACUGUGAUAGAUAUUAUGCGAGAGAACUAUCUGCUAAGUAUUCUGAUGCAUCGAACAGAU
rnacentral:lncRNA from 1 species